rnacentral:piRNA from 1 species
UACCCAUGGACAAGAUCCAGUUUAGC